UUGAAAGGGAAACGAUUGAAGUCAGUCGUGCCUUCGGGUAAUCAGCCUUUCGGGUGCGAUUCUGUGGGGUUUGAGGAGCUUAACACCUUCAUGCUUUGCAUAUUCGUGCUCUUGGGUGUACUUGCCCGUGUGGUUGGUUAACAUCAAUUUUGGUGGUCAUAAAAUGACUGGAGGAAUGUAGCUUCGAUCUUGUAUUGAAGUGUUAUAGCCUUCGGUAGAUGUGAUGAUCGAGACCGAGGAUUGCAACGGAUACCCUUCAGGGCUAUUCGUCUGAUCUCUGAUACGUUGCCUUGAUGUUGAAAGCUCGCUUAUNNNNNNNGNGUAUUACGGUCAAAAGGUUAGAACGAAUUNCAUUCGUUAAGGAUGUUGACGUA
rnacentral:rRNA from 1 species